rnacentral:rRNA from 1 species
UGCGAGUGAAGCGGGAUCGGCUCAAUGUGUGAAUCUGGCUUGGGGUAGUUCCCUGGUCCGAGUUGUGCACUAUGGACGUUUCGUCUGCGUUUGUAAUGGCGGUGGAAGUCCGUUGAAACACGGCACCUCAGAGGGUCACAGUCCUGUACCACCUGCCUGCACUCGCGCCAAUGACAAGCGCUCCUCGAGUCGCGUAGUUUUGUAAUGCUGCGCCAAGUGGGAGGUAGAGACCUUCUAAGGCUAAAUAUGAUGACGUGACCGAUAGCACACAAGUACCGCGAGGGAAAGGUGAAAAGCAACCAUGAAAAAUGGGUUGAAACAGUAGUGAAAGCGCUACCGGGAUAAGGGCUAUCGGGUGCUGGGGCUUCUCGGGUGUGCUUCAGUGCUACCCUUGGAGACGGCCCGCGUGGGUUGAUUGGGGCGAUAGACGCGCUGUAGGAAUUCGGCUGCCUUCGGGCAGUGUUGUAGCCUGCGGUUGCUGAUCCUCCUGCGACCUUUUGUAA